GAUGAACGCUGGCGGCGUGCCUAAUACAUGCAAGUCGAGCGAAAAGACGAGGAGCUUGCUUCUCUGACGUUAGAGGCGGACGGGAGAGGAACACGUGGAUAACUUAACUAUAAGACUGGGAUAAGUUCGGGAAACCGGUGCCAAUACCGGAAAAAAUAUUGAACCGCAUGGUUAAAAAGUGAAAGACGGUAUUGCUGUAACUUAUAGAUGGAUCCGCGCUGCAUAAGCUAGGUUGUAAGGUAACGGCUUACCAAGGCAAGGAUGCGUAGCCGAACGGAGAGGGUGAGCGGCCCCCCCGGAACUGAAACGCGGCCCAGACUCCUACGGUAGGCAACAGUAGGGUAUCGUCCGCUAGGGGCGAAAGCCUGACGUAGCAACGCCACGUGAGGUGUAAAAGUCUUCUGAUCUUAAAACUCUGUUAUUAGUGAAGAACAAAUGUGUAAGUAACUAGUCACGUCUUGACGGUACCUAAUCAAAAAGCCACGGCUAACUCCGUG
rnacentral:rRNA from 1 species